CUUUGAGCGCUUCCCACAGAUCAUCCACCCUCUGCCUACCUUCACCCUCCCCACCACUCCUCUCUGAGGGGAGAUCGCCUUGCUGCUGCGCAUAGGCUCACAGGGAACCAUGCCCACUCAGGCUAGCCCAUCCUCUGAGAAACACAGCCCUCAGGUCCGAAUACUUAGCUGGCCAUUAGCGAGCUAGUCGGCUGUUAGACUUGUCUGUGCCCUUCCAGAGAUCCUCACUGACUUCUGUCUACAUUGAUCACUUCAUGGAUUGGGGGGACCGGACCCGAGGCCUAGAGAAGUGAAGGGACCUGAGGCCACUAGCAGAAGAGCAUCGUUUGUCUUGUCCCCGCCCACCGGCAUUUUCCUGUGGAGUUCCAGCUAGCAAGCGGCAAGUCCACCGUGACUCCUGGCACCACUUACUCCUGUAGGCUGGAGGCCAGCCAGAAGGCUGUGAGGGGCCAGGUGGGGUCAGGCAUUUGAUUCUGCCUCCUCGUGCUGGGAUCUGCCUGUCCUACUCAGUCUGUCUGCAUGCCAACGUCCCGCCCUGGCCGUGGGUAGCAUGACCUCCACUCUGAUGCCCAUCACUCAAAGCCUUGCUCCCCUCCAUCCUGGCAUGCUGCUCUGGACGGCCAGCACCUCCAAAGGCCUCCCAAGGAGCAGACUUCACAGCUCUACUGUCUGAAACUGUAGGGAGCCGGCACAGGAAGCGGGGAGCAGGAUAAGAUGCUGCCUGGAUGCCUGAGGAGUGUGGCACCGCGGGAAGUACAUGUACAUGGCUCUGUGGGUCCACGGCUGUCCCUACAGGGAGAGUGUGGGUUGGGUGAGUGAGUGUGCGCGCUGCCACGCCAGAAAGAUCUGUAAGGCUCCAAGACUGCCAGCAGCCCUAGUCAGAGUGUGGCAGGGGAGGGGGGUGGGGGCUGCAAUUCCUCUUCCCAGGGCAUGCCCUCCAGCGCCUACCGGGACAUGCCAGGUGAGCCCCUGGCCUGCGGGCUCUCUGAUGAUGAGGACGACUUUCACCCGAGUGCCAGGUCCACGCCCUCAAGCAGCACCCCCAGCUCCCGCCCAGCUUCCCUGGGGUACAGUGGAGCUGCCGGGCCCCGGCCCAUCACCCAGAGCAAGCUGGCCACUGCCCUGGCCCUGGCCAGCACUCCGGAGAGCAGCUCUCACACACCGACUCCUGGUACCCAGGGCCACUCCUCAGGGACCUCCCCAAUGUCCUCCAGCGUCCAGUCAGGGACGCCCAUCACCAACGAUCUCUUCAGCCAAGCCCUGCAGCAUGCCCUGCAGGCCUCAGGGCAGCCCAGCCUUCAGCAUGGCCCCUAAACACCAGUCUCCGCUUCCAUCCCACAUAAAGAAACCAAAACUGACUCCUGCCUCCAGGCCAGACAAAACGUCUCCUCUGAACUUGCUGAAGGAAGAGAAAGAACAGCAAGAAGCAACUGAACAUAUUGAUGGAGUACAAGAUGAAAUAGACAGACUUAGUGAACAAGCCAGUGAGGAGAUUUUGAAAGUCGAACAGAAAUAUAACAAAUUCCGCCAAUAAUUUUUUCAGAAGAAGUUGGAAUUGAUUGCCAAAAUCCCAAAUUUGGGGGUAACAACAUUUGUUAACCAUCCGCAAGCGUCUGCACUGCUUGGGAAGGAAGAUGAGGCGCUGCCUUAUUUGACAAGCGUUGAAGUGACGGAAUUUGAAGAUAUUAAAUCAGGUUACAGAAUAGAUUUUUAUCUUGAUGAAAAUAGAAUAUUAUUUUCACUUACUUUGAAAAUAAAGUUGUCUCCAAACACUUACAUCUACAUGAGAGUGGCGAUCUAUCUUCAAAGUCCACUGAAGUCAAAUGGAAAUCCAGAAAGGAUUUCACUAAGUGAUCAAGUCAAAUGCAGAAGAAAGCCAGCCGGAAGAGACAGCAUGAGGAACCAGAGAGCUUCUUCACCUGGUUUAUUGAUCAUUCUGAUGCAGGUGCAGAUGAGCUAGGAGAGGUCAUCAAAGAUGAUAUUUGGCCAAGUCCGUUACAGUGGUGCUUGUUUCCUGCCAUGGAUGAUGAGGAAGGGGAAGGAGAAGAAGGUGAUGGUGACAGUGAAGAGGAAGAAGGAUUGGAAGAUAUUGAUGAAGGAGAUUAGGAUGAAAGUGAAAAAGAUGAGGCGGAGGAAGAUGAAGGAGACGAGGACUAAUGGAACAUGGAUGGAUUCCAACCUUCCUUUUUAAAUCUUCUCCAGUCCCUGGGAGCAAGUUGAAGUCUUUUUUUUCUCCUCCUGUGCUCACUCACUCUGUUUUUAAGGUCUCUUUUCUCUUUUAUACCAAGGUUCACAACUUAUUUGGGAAUAUCUUGAGCAGAAUUCAAGGGGAAAGGAAUUUCUACCCCUUUCUAUUCCAAAUUCAUUUUUAUCCCUUACUGUCACAACAAAGGCUAUAGAAUCAACACCACCAUGCUCUGUGGGAAAAAAGAAAAACCUUCUGCUCUCCUGGCUCUGCUGGAAGCUGGAGGGUCCUAGGCCUCUGUGUGAUAGUGCAUAGAAUAGUGCCUUUCCCCCUCCUUUCUCUGUAUAUUGUGUUCAGAGACUACAUUGUGUCUCUACGUGAAUAUGGACAGUUAGCAUUUACCAAUAUAUGUCUGUCUACUUUCUCUUUUUAAAAAAGAAAAAAGACUUUUUAAAAAUGGGGUUAUAGAAGGUCAGCAAAAGGUGGGUUUGAGAUGUUUGGGUGGGUUAAGUGAGUAUUUUGACAACAUGGCUACUCCUUUGGCAUGUUAAAUUGUGAUGUUUAAUGGAUGUACUUUCAGUUUAAGAUGACACUUUUGAAACAAAAAAGUGAAAGUGAAAGUCACUCAGUUGUGUCGGACUCUUUGCGACUAUACAGUCCAAGGAAUUCUCCAGGCCAGAAUACUGGAGUGGGUAACCUUUCCCUUCUCCAGGGGAUCUUCCCAGCUCAAGGAUCAAACCCAGGUCUCCUGCAUUGCAGGUAGAUUCUUUACCAGCUGAGCUACCAGGGAAACUCCCCUUUUAAAACAAAAUUCUCUCCUAAUAACUUGAGCCCUGCCUCUAGAUGGGAGAAUCAACAGGACCUAUAGGAAGUUACCUGCAAUUGACAUUCCCUAUUGUAAUUUUGUUCCUGUAUAUUUUUAAAUGUUUCUUUUUGCUUCACUGAAAAGUAAAAAUGAUGCUCAGUUUUUAAUGUUAAAAGUGUACAAGUUGCUUUGUUACAAUAAAACUAAAUGUGUU
rnacentral:lncRNA from 1 species